AUGAACGCUAGCUACAGGCUUAACACAUGCAAGUCGAGGGGCAGCGCAGUGUAGCAAUACACGGGCGGCGACCGGCGCACGGGUGCGUAACGCGUAUCCAACCUUCCCGUUACUCAGGGAUAGCCUUCCGAAAGGGAGAUUAAUACCUGAUGGUGUUCAAAUUCCGCAUGUUAUUUGAACUAAAGAUUCAUCGGUAACGGAUGGGGAUGCGUGACAUUAGAUAGUAGGCGGGAUAACGGCCCACAUAGUCUACGAUGUCUAGGGGUUCUGGGAGGAAGGUCCCCCACACUGGAGCUGAGACACGGGCCAGACUCCUACGGGAGGCAGCAGUGGGGAAUAUUGGACAAUGGGCGCAAGCCUGAUCCAGCCAUACCGCGUGGGUGAAGAAGGCCUUCGGGUUGUAAAGCCCUUUUGUUGGGAAAGAAAUCCAGCCGGCUAAUACCUGGUUGGGAUGACGGUACCCAAAGAAUAAGCACCGGCUAACUUCGUGCCAGCCGCCGCGGUAAGAC
rnacentral:rRNA from 1 species